rnacentral:sRNA from 1 species
UAGCAAAGAUUUUAAUGCCUCUUUAAAU